AACGUAGGUAGCGAGCGGUGUCCGGAAUUACUGGGUGUAAAAGGCGCGUAGGCGGGUUAGCAAGUCAGAUGUGAAAUACCGGGGCUCAACCCCGGGGCUGCAUCUGAAACUGAUAAUCUUGAGUGCUGGAGAGGGAAGCGGAAUUCCAGGGGUAGCGGUGAAAUGCGUAGAUAUCGGGAGGAACACCAGUGGCGAAGGCGGCUUUCUGGACAGUAACUGACGCUGAGGCGCGAAAGCGUGGUGAGCAAACAGG
rnacentral:rRNA from 1 species